GCCAUCGGGGGGGGGGGGCUUUGUGGGAACCCUCCCCCCUGCUCUCUCUGACCAUUCCUGACAAAACACCUUGCACAAGAGCCAAUUAUUUGGAAAACAGCCCGUUUUGUAGCACAUGCCCAUUUGCCAAUGGCCUCAUGAGGUUGAGGCUGGAGCAGGAGGAACCCUCCUGAGCACAGCCCAGUACUGGAGAAGAAAAGCAGCGAGGGAAGGUGAGGACCGAUGCUCUGUUGUCAGCAGCGGGGGCUCUCCCUGCUGCCUCGGCAUGAAAAACCUUUCAGCAACCACUGGACUUGAGCCGCCCCAGCCUGCCAGGAGCAGAAGCACAAACCGGGCAGCAGGAGCAGCACAUAAUGGAGCUAGCUAUUUUCCUGCAGCAUUUAGCCUCGAUUUCCAGGAGAUAAGGCUGCUGGAUGAACACCUAGAGCACUUUGCACCUCCAGCACAGGAGGGGAAUCCUUGCCAUGGGACCUACCUGCCAGUGAAUGGAGGAAUUAAGCCUUGCUCCUUCCACAGCCAUCUCCAUUUUUGGUAACGUCUGUGGAGUCUGCAGAAGGAGCUGGCCCUGAUUGAAAUGGAAAAACCUCCUUCCACUCCGGGAAGCUGCACUUAUAUUCCUCCAGGAGAAAACAGUGAUCAAGCAGCGGCAUGCAGCUGUGAGCCCCCCAGGACGUGCACUGCUGUAACUGCUCAUUUUUUAGAAGCACCUGACAGUCGAUGUGUGGCUGGGAAUAGCACAUGCCUCUGUUAUGCUAUGGGCUGGUCAAACAUCUCAGAAGAAAUAGUCUGCCUCAAAUGGAUGGUGCAGCUGAAGGCUGGGGCCUGAAAGCUGGCUGGAAAUUGCUGCUUUCUUCCCGUACAGCUCUGCCCGGGUAUCUGUCAUCGUUUACACCAGCUCUUCAAAAAGCCAGCCUCUAAAGCCCGUAUUCGCUAUGGAUAGUGCUCCACAAAAGCUGCAGUGAAAUUAUCAGCACUGGUCUUGGCCAGGACUCUGCGCGCUGCAGCACGAGGUGAUGGGAACCAGGCUGAAAUUCUGGCUCGUUGGAGUCGGUGGGACUUUUGCCAUCGAUUUAAUGGGAGCCAGAAUUUCCUGCCACUGACAGUGUUAGAAGCAGGCAUUGAUCCAAGGACAUGAAUUCAGAAGUUUGCUACAGCCUUUAUUUUAGCAGCACGGCCCAGGUUUGCUGCUGCAGGAGCGCACUUGGUGCUGGUGUGGCUUCCAGUUAGAGGAAGGGGCAGUGGCAGGAGCUGGUGGCCCUGCCCAGGAGGAUGGCAUAGCAGUGCCAUUUACAAAGCUGUCUUCAUAUUUGGAUUUGCAGCUGGAGGCUGUGUUUAUUUGUGGUGGAGCUUUCUGCUCUUUGGAGAUGGAGGGCCUCCGAACAGCAGCGUGCGUUGUAUGCUCCUGACACCCUUUGACGAGAAACCAUAACAUAUUAACUACAAAUCUGCCUGCAGAAUGUUUAUUCAUGUUAAUAAAUUAUGCUGGAGAAUAAAUAGAUGAUAAAUU
rnacentral:lncRNA from 1 species